rnacentral:rRNA from 1 species
CCUACGGGAGGCAGCAGUGGGGAAUAUUGCACCAUGGGGGAAACCCUGAUGCAGCGACGCCGCGUGAGUGAAGAAGUAAUUCGUUACGUAAAGCUCUAUCAGCAGGGAAGAAAAUGACGGUACCUGAGUAAGAAGCCACGGCUAACUACGUGCCAGCAGCCGCGGUAAUACGUAGGUGGCAAGCGUUAUCCGGAAUGACUGGGCGUAAAGGGUGCGUAGGUGGUUUAGUAAGUUGGCUGUGUAAUUCCGGGGCUCAACCUCGGCGCUACAUCCAAAACUAUUAGACUAGAGUGCAGGAGGGGUAGGUGGAAUUCCUAGGGUAGCGGUGGAAUGCGUAGAUAUUAGGAGGAACAUCAGGGGCGAAGGCGACUUACUGGACUGUAACUGACACUGAGGCACGAAAGCGUGGGGAGCAAACAGGAUUAGAUACCCCUGUAGUC